UGAUAGAGUCAUAUACAUUAGAGAGAGGUAUAUAUAUCCUGAUAGAGUCAUAUACAUUAGAGAGAGGUAUAUAUAUCCUGAUAGAGCCAUAUACAUUAGAGAGAGGUAUAUAUAUCCUGAUAGAGUCAUAUACAUUAGAGAGAGGUAUAUAUAUCCUGAUAGAGUCAUAUACAUUAGAGAGAGGUAUAUAUAUCCUGAUAGAGCCAUAUACAUUAGAGAGAGGUAUAUAUAUCCUGAUAGAGUCAUAUACAUUAGAGAGAGGUAUAUAUAUCCUGAUAGAGUCAUAUACAUUAGAGAGAGGUAUAUAUAUCCUGAUAGAGUCAUAUACAUUAGAGAGGUAUAUAUCUCCUGAUAGAGUCAUAUACAUGAAAGACAGGUGUUUUGCUACAGAUGUAGGAUCUUAAUUUGAGACAGUUUACUGAAGCAGAAAAAUUAUGUGGAUUAUAAUUAACAUUUUAAAGUGGAAAGUGGAAAAGACAAACUUCAGAAGCCUUUUAAAACAUCAAAUACACUGCAAGUUUGAGUUUUCCUGCAACAGGGUGAUCAAAUUCAGAUCCUACAUCUGUACAGAGAUGAUGUCU